GAUGAACGCUGGUGGCGUGCCUAAUACAUGCAAGUCGAGCGAACGGACGAGAAGCUUGCUUCUCUGAUGUUAGCGGCGGACGGGUGAGUAACACGUGGAUAACCUACCUAUAAGACUGGGAUAACUUCGGGAAACCGGAGCUAAUACCGGAUAAUAUUUUGAACCGCAUGGUUCAAAAGUGAAAGACGGUCUUGCUGUCACUUAUAGAUGGAUCCGCGCUGCAUUAGCUAGUUGGUAAGGUAACGGCUUACCAAGGCAACGAUGCAUAGCCGACCUGAGAGGGUGAUCGGCCACACUGGAACUGAGACACGGUCCAGACUCCUACGGGAGGCAGCAGUAGGGAAUCUUCCGCAAUGGGCGAAAGCCUGACGGAGCAACGCCGCGUGAGUGAUGAAGGUCUUCGGAUCGUAAAACUCUGUUAUUAGGGAAGAACAUAUGUGUAAGUAACUGUGCACAUCUUGACGGUACCUAACCAGAAAGCCACGGCUAACUACGUG
rnacentral:rRNA from 1 species